rnacentral:lncRNA from 1 species
GGAAAUCCGAAACGGCCUCAGAAACACCUCUAACCUAAACACAGCAACGAUACGGGCUACUUUGUGGCAAAAGAGAUUCAUCCUCAAAGCUUCAGUGCCUCGUCUGGAAGUUGGAGUGUACUGCAGUGGUAUUUGCGGCAAAAGAUGGAUUGUUAGGUCAGAUGGGCAAGAAAGAGUACUUCUGCCAACAUAGAAACCAAACUAUUGUAAGUUUGCAUAAAGGAAUACAAUGAGGUGUAUCAACAGACAUUCCCAAGGCAGUGCAUAGAUCUGCGAGUAUUUGUUAUACUGGCAAGUCUGGUACGAAAGUUCAUUUAUAUUGAUUUAAAGAUUUUUCUUCCAGGUAUCCUUAUAAAAGUAAGGAAAUGAUUGAACUCAAGAAGUAAGCAUUAUCCUCUGAAGCCAUCUGAGGCUAAACAUAAUAUUCCAUUAUGCCUACCGUACAAUUCAGUAUAAGCCAAAGAAUUGAAAUGAAUUUUGAUACUGUCACAGAAUACCUGAAAUCUUAUUUUUUGUUUAACAAGUAAGCUUCAGGUCUUUAUGUAAAGUGUUCAUAGGAUUGGGAAUGGAUGCUGUAAAGUGAGAAAGGGCUGGUUUGCAGUAGUCAAAAAGAAAGGGCUCCAUAGCUCUUUAAAGUAAAAUAAUUUAUAUAAAACACAUUGGUAAAUUUAAAUUAUGCAACCCUUGACUAUAGCCUUAAUCAGUGUGGACUUCAUAUUGCCCUAAUGCCUAGUUUAGACUUUUGAGCAGACAUAGCCUAUCAGAUGCCCAAAACAGGAAAAAAAGGGGCAACGAGAGAGCCUGGACAAGCCAAACAGCAUUGCCCUCAGCUCCUCAAGCUUGAAGAAGGUGGUUUCUAAGGCAAAUAUCAGUCCUGGCUAGGUACUGAUACUUCUUGGUUGGAGGCGUCCAGACCUUACAGGGAGUCUCUGAGAGUCAAGGAAACAAGCCAACCACACCUACUGGUUUUUUUUAAUCUUAGGCAAGAACCA